UCCUCCUCUAUCAUCCCGUCAAAUACUGACAUGUAGUCAACUUCCUCUGAGUCUCCAGACUCAAUAAUCACUACAUCUGGCUCUGCUGCUAUAGGGUUCGGUAUAACCUCUACUUGGUUCACCGAUUCUUCACUAAUGGUUUGUUCAUUAACAAACAUCUCGUUUACUCCUGACAUCUACACAAAAUAAUUAAGUUGAU
rnacentral:lncRNA from 1 species